AUGAAGGUAAACUUAUAGAAAUAUAAGGACACAAAAUUAGGGGUCUAAGGUAAUUUAAUAUGCUAUGAUAGCCCGAUUGCA
rnacentral:ncRNA from 1 species